rnacentral:rRNA from 1 species
UACGUAGGGUGCAAGCGUUGUCCGGAAUUAUUGGGCGUAAAGAGCUCGUAGGCGGUUUGUCGCGUCGAAUGUGAAAACCCGGGGCUCAACCCCGGGCCUGCAUUCGAUACGGGCAGACUAGAGUUCGGUAGGGGAGUCUGGAAUUCCUGGUGUAGCGGUGAAAUGCGCAGAUAUCAGGAGGAACACCGGUGGCGAAGGCGGGACUCUGGGCCGAUACUGACGCUGAGGAGCGAAAGCGUGGGGAGCAAGCAGG